UCAAAAGUUGACACAUAAUUAAAAUUUUAUUUUCCCUUAAUUUAACUAAAAAACUGAAAAAAUAAAAAUAAAUUAAAAGUAUCCUCUCUCUCCAUCUUCAUCUUCCCCAUCUCCAUCCACCAUUUCCCUUCCCCUUCCCUCUCUCAAACAGAACCAACAUCAUUCCCUCCCCCCUCUCUCUGCUCCAAACCAUCACCAUAAACCUCAAAAAGAAAAAAAAAAACUAAAACAAAACUAGUAGUUUGCAAAAGAAACCCAAUCCAAGCUUUGACUGAAACAACUCGUGAGUUUAAAGCAUUCUUGGCUGAUGAAAAACCUGAAUACUGAAUGGAAGACGGCAAUAAGUUUGGCGAUUUAUCCUUCUCUAUUUUUUAGAAAAAAAAUAAAAAAGAAAACUCUAAAUUUUGAGUUGAAUCUCCAAUUAUAUUUUUGAAAUAAAACCCAAGCAGAAACAAAAACCAUAAGAAAAGCAAAGAUCUAAAAUUCUCUCUCUGAAAUAUCUAUUCUCUCAUGAAGUAUAUCAGAGAAGGGGACUGGACUUGUGCGCCGGUUCUGCCGGCGGUGGCUGAUCGGAGGGUCAAAAUUACAGGUCCUGUGGAGAGGAAGAUGAUCAACAGCGCUCUUAACUCGGGAGCUACAGUGUUUAUGGGAAACAAUAAGGGCUCAAACUCGAGGAGAAUGUUAUUUAGAGUGAGUAUCAAAACACAAAUGCCAUGGAAGUUAUGAUAUCCUCGAAGGUGUUGAAGUGAAGAAAUGAAGUCAUUUUCCAGUGGUAUCGCGGCAUUGAGGGAUGGUAUUGCGACACCGAGACCCCCAAGACCCCGAUUUAGCUACUGUUUUGGGUAUUACGACACUGAAGGUUGGGCGUUGCGAUACCGUUGCCAGGAGCAAUUUUGUGUCCAAGCAAGCUUAAGUCUUUUUUUCAUUUGAGGGCAUAAUGGUUAAUGCUAGGUUAAAUGUUAGUAUAUUACAAAUUCUACUUUAUAAGUUUUGGAAGGCAGAUUUUUGUAGGCCGAACAUUGCCCUUUAGUUUUUCAUAGUUUUAGGUUAGGUUUUCUUUUCUUUUCAUUUUUAUAUUAGGUUUAGAAUAUAUUUUAUUUUUGUUGUUUUCUAUUUCUUCUUUUAAAUUUACAAAAAUAGACUUUAAAAUUGCUUACAUGCAAGGGCCGAUUAUUGAACUA